GGUCAGGGUGACGGCAGCUGCAGCGGAUGAUGGCAGAGAAAGCCAGGCUGCCUGGUGCUGAGUGGUGAAGAAUCGCCGUGAAAUAUGACCCUGGGAAACCAGAGAGGCUGACAUCUGCACGCAGCAUCGCGCCAGCCUGUAGGAGGCAGUCAGACUGUACUGGCGAAUGCAUUUGUGAAUGAAGAGAAUGCACUGAGGUUAAAACACUGAACAUCUGUAACCAUCUGUUGAUUGGUUCACCCUCUUUGUGUUGCAAGUGACAGAAACCCAUUCAAACCAGCCUAAGCCAAAAAACUAAAAGAAAUUUUUUAAAAUUUACAAAAGGUGGGAGGGGGCCAAUUUGUCAGCUUGGAAACUGGAAAGUCAGGAUGUCUGCUUCAGGCACAGUUGGACUCAGGGGCAAGGAGAAGGCCGGAGUGGUCUUCUCUCCUUUUCUUCCGUACUGGUUUACACCCAGGUAGGUGCCUUCCACGUGGUGGUCCUGGCAGCUCCUUCCAGGAUCGCACCCUCUACACACCCAAUGAUACAUCCAGAAGAAAGGGGCUUCCUUUCCAAACACUUCUAACUUGAGUCUUGAAUUGACUCUCAGCCGCCUGGCCAGAGUCCCACGAACCAGUCUUAUCCACUCAGCAACAUUCCAAGGCCUGGAGGCAGAGGAGGGAUAAUUUCCCAAAAGAGAAAUAGGGAGCUUCCCCCAGCAGAAGGGACACUGGCUGCUAGGCAGGCACAGAUCGCCAUUGCCCCCAGACUGAGAGCAUCUGGAGAGGGCUCCGGUGACUCGAGGGUGACUAGGUGAGACAGAAGGAAAAGCGUGGUGCUUGGAGGACUCACAAGGAGGGUGAGCAGAGCUCUGCUGGGUCCAGGGAGGACAGGGCCCUCUGAGGACCACAAGGAGGCUGGGAGGUUCUCCAGGACGCCUGGCCAUGGAUGGACACAGCAGACUGAUGGCGACAGUGCCUCUGACCACCUGACCCUGAGCCCACACCCUCUGCCUUGUGGUUUUGCAGCAUCUCUCAUCAAGAGGGGCUUCCCAGGUGGCUCAGUUGGUAAAGACCCGCCCGCAAUGCGGGAGACCUGGGUUCGAUCCCUGGGUUGGGGAGAUCCCCUGGAGAUGGGAAAGGCUACCCACUCCAGUAUUCUGGCCUGGAGAAUUCCAUGGAUUAUACAGUCCAUGGGGUCGCAAAGAGUAGGACACGACUGAGCGACUUUCACCCACCCACCCCCUCUCAUCAAAAGGGGAGUCUAUUUCCCCUCCCCUAGAAUCUGGGCUAGACUCAUCACUUGCUUUGACAACAGAAUGUGACAGAAGGGAUGGUGUGCCAGUUCUGAGGUUGGGCUUUCAGGGCUUUUCUCUGCCUUCGCUUGCUCUCUUGGACCCUUGCCUUUACCGUGUGAACCGUCCUGGCUAUUUGGCUGGAGGAUAAGGGACCACACGAAGCCAUCUCAAUGGUCCCAGCCAAGGCCCCAGACGUGGAAAGAGCCCUGUGUGACUAGCAAAGCUGACCACUGACCCAGAUUCCACAGAUGACUGCAGAGACAUGAGUGAGUCCACUGAGCCCAGCUCAGAUUAGAACUGCCCAGGUGACCCAUGGACUCAAGAGUGGUAGUGGCUGCUGUUUUCAGUCACUGAGUUUUGGGACAGUUUGUUACACAGCAUUGUGUGGGAAAUAAGUAACAGCUACAAGCC
ensembl:lncRNA